rnacentral:rRNA from 1 species
AGAUUGAACGCUGGCGGCAUGCCUUACACAUGCAAGUCGAACGGCAGCACGGGGGCAACCCUGGUGGCGAGUGGCGAACGGGUGAGUAAUACAUCGGAACGUGUCCUGUAGUGGGGGAUAGCUCGGCGAAAGCCGGAUUAAUACCGCAUACGCUCUACGGAGGAGAGCGGGGGAUCUUCGGACCUCGCGCUAAAGGGGCGGCCGAUGGCAGAUUAGCUAGUUGGUGGGGUAAAGGCCUACCAAGGCGACGAUCUGUAGCUGGUCUGAGAGGACGACCAGCCACACUGGGACUGAGACACGGCCCAGACUCCUACGGGAGGCAGCAGUGGGGAAUUUUGGACAAUGGGGGCAACCCUGAUCCAGCAAUGCCGCGUGUGUGAAGAAGGCCUUCGGGUUGUAAGCACUUUGUCAGGGAAGAAAGGAUUCUACUAAUACUGGAGUCUGAUGACGGUACCUGAAGAAUAAGCACCGGCUAACUACGUGCCAGCAGCCG